AUGCAAUUGGUGGUGCUGCACCUGGAAAAUAUUACCGUGUCCCUUACUGGGCAGUACGAAUGCAUUUUUGCUACCUACCCAUAUGGAACAAAGGCUGCAAAAAUUCAACUUACUGUCAAGGCAGAAGAGGAGAGGCACUACCUGAAGAAAGUGUGGUUAAAGCAGAUUUUAGAAAUUCCAUGCCUUGAGGAUGAGACCUCAGAAAAUUUGUCCACUUAUCCUUUGAAAUGGCUAGUGGAUGAAGAUGGGUGGGAAGAGGAACUUGUGACCAAGGAGCCCUCCUGUCCUGCUGUGUACAGGAACAGCAGCAUGCUCUUACCCUGAGAUCUUCAUUAGCUUGGAGGAGAGCUCAGCCAGCACCUCGCAGAAGACUUCAGAAAUU
rnacentral:lncRNA from 1 species